UCCUGGCUUAGGAAUGAACGCUGGCGGCGUGCUUAACACAUGCAAGUCGAACGAAGCAUUGUGAUUGAUUUCUUCGGAUUGAUUCACUUUGACUUAGUGGCGGACGGGUGAGUAACGCGUGGGUAACCUGCCGUAUGCAGGGGGACAACAGUUAGAAAUGACUGCUAAUACCGCAUAACCCGCUAGUGCCGCAUGGCACAGACGGAAAAGAUUUUAUCGGCAUACGAUGGACCCGCGUCUGAUUAGCUUGUUGGUGAGGUAACGGCCCACCAAGGCGACGAUCAGUAGCCGAACUGAGAGGUUGACCGGCCACAUUGGGACUGAGACACGGCCCAGACUCCUACGGGAGGCAGCAGUGGGGAAUAUUGCACAAUGGGGGAAACCCUGAUGCAGCCAACGCCGCGUGAGUGAUGACGUAUUUCGGUAUGUAAAGCUCUAUCAGCAGGGAAGAAAAUGACGGUACCUGACUAAGAAGCCCCGGCUAACUACGUGCCAGCAGCCGC
rnacentral:rRNA from 1 species